GGGGAAGAACAGGCUAUCUACGGAUAGCCCUUGACGGUACCCCAGGAAGAAGGCCCGGCUAACUACGUGCCAGCAGCCGCGGUAAAACGUAGGGGUCGAGCGUUAUCCGGAAUUACUGGGCGUAAAGCGCGUGCAGGCGGUUCUGAAAGUCGGACGUGAAAGCUCCCGGCCCAACUGGGAGAGGCCGUUCGAAACUAUGGGACUAGAGGAUGGUAGAGGCAAGUGGAAUUCCCGGUGUAGUGGUGAAAUGCGUAGAUAUCGGGAGGAACACCAGCGGCGAAGGCGGCUUGCUGGGCCAUCACUGACGCUCAGACGCGAAAGCCAGGGGAGAGAACGGGAUUAGAAACCCCGGUAUUCCUGGCUGUAAACGAUGUCAACUAGGUGUAGGGGGUAACCAAUCCCUCUGUGCUGCCGCAAACGCAAUAAGUUGACCGCCUGGGGAGUACGGCCGCAAGGCUAAAACUCAAAGGAAUUGACGGGGGCCCGCACAAGCAGCGGAGCGUGUGGUUUAAUUCGAGGCUACGCGAAGAACCUUACCAGGGUUUGACAUGAUGGUGGUAGGCUGAGUGAAAGCUAGCCGACACUUCGGUGAGCCAUCACAGGUGCUGCAUGGCUGUCGUCAGCCCGUGCCGUGAGGUGUUAGGUUAAGUCCUGUAACGAGCGCAACCCACGUCGUUAGUUAUACGUGUCUAGCGAGACUGCCGGUGAUAAGCCGGAGGAAGGUGUGGAUGACGUCAAGUCAGCAUGGCCUUUAUAUCCUGGGCUACACACACGCUACAAUGGCCGGUACAAUGGGUCGCGAAGCCGCGAGGUGGAGCCAAUCCCGUAAAGCCGGUCUCAGUUCGGAUUGCAGGCUGCAACUCGCCUGCAUGAAGUCGGAGUUGCUAGUAACCGCAGGUCAGCAACACUGCGGUGAAUACGUUCCCGGGCCU
rnacentral:rRNA from 1 species